rnacentral:siRNA from 1 species
UCAAGAGUUUCAAGCUUGCCACC